rnacentral:rRNA from 1 species
ACAUGCAGAGAACUUCCAAAGAUGGAUUGGUGCCUUCGGGAACUCUGACACAGGUGCUGCAUGGCUGUCGUCAGCUCGUGUCGUGAGAUGUUGGGUUAAGUCCCGUAACGAGCGCAACCCUUGUCCUUAGUUACCAGCACGUUAUGGUGGGCACUCUAAGGAGACUGCCGGUGACAAACCGGAGGAAGGUGGGGAGUGACGUCAAGUCAUCAUGGCCCUUACGGCCUGGGCUACACACGUGCUACAAUGGUCGGUACAAAGGGUUGCCAAGCCGCGAGGUGGAGCUAAUCCCAUAAAACCGAUCGUAGUCCGGAUCGCAGUCUGCAACUCGACUGCGUGAAGUCGGAAUCGCUAGUAAUCGUGAAUCAGAAUGUCACGGUGAAUACGUUCCCGGGCCUU